CGUGGUGGGGAUCCUCUCAUUCUUUGUUUUGUCGAUUUUGCUAGUCCAGCAUGUGCAGCAACUGCAAUGAGUGCUUUGCAAGGCUAUAAAAUGGAUGAAUAUGAUCCAGAUUCCAAGUACUUGAGGCUGCAGUUCUCUCGGUAUCCAGGUCCAAGGUCUAGUUCUGGAACACGCAGUAGGAGAUGAAUAAUCUGACUGUGAAGCUAGGUAGAACUCCAACAGUUUGUAGGACACACCCGCAAGCCGUUCACGUUUGGACAGGAUGCUAUAUUUAGGCUGUUGCCUGUCCUGGGUAAGAGCAAUAGAAAUGCAGAGUAUUUAGGUGAUAAGGCCAAAGAAAAUUAAAAUCAUCAGAGAUCCUUGAACUUGACACGAUCUUACAGUUCCCAAUUCUAUAAAGCUGUGUUGUACAAUAUCAUUUGCAAGUGAUUUUUAUUUAAUAUUUGGAUAAAUUAACACUUCAAUACCAUGUAGUUUAGGACUUUGUAGAUUCAAUACAUGAUAUGUCUUUUUUUCAGUGCCGAUGCUUGAGCGUAUCCUUGAACAGUAGAACACUUGGUUUAAAUCCGGAGUAUUACAAUAUGUAGAUGAUUGAUAUUAAAUUUUCGAUAUUUAGAAUGAA